CAAGUUGUUUUUAGUAGAGUUAUUUAUAGAAUAUUUAUGAAAAAAUAAAAAUAAAAAGACGACACAGACUGGGGUUGAACUCAGUGCCUUCCGUCUACCAGUUGAAUGCUACUCUUACUACACCACUGCUUUGUUGUUUUAUUGUGCGUCAAAUAUUUUGAUUUUUUUAAACUUUACCUACAAAAUUACAACCAUCUAGUGCAUUUACUCCAUAGCUAAGCUAUUACAAAACAUAAUAGAAAAAGACUUCUGCACCGCUUCUGCACCGAAAAAAAUUUAUAUUACAAGAUCCACCAUUUAACAACGUUAUA